rnacentral:rRNA from 1 species
GACGAACGCUGGCGGCGUGCUUAACACAUGCAAGUCGAACGGAAAGGCCCUGCUUUUGUGGGGUGCUCGAGUGGCGAACGGGUGAGUAACACGUGAGUAACCUGCCCUUGACUUUGGGAUAACUUCAGGAAACUGGGGCUAAUACCGGAUAGGAGCUCCUGCUGCAUGGUGGGGGUUGGAAAGUUUCGGCGGUUGGGGAUGGACUCGCGGCUUAUCAGCUUGUUGGUGGGGUAGUGGCUUACCAAGGCUUUGACGGGUAGCCGGCCUGAGAGGGUGACCGGCCACAUUGGGACUGAGAUACGGCCCAGACUCCUACGGGAGGCAGCAGUGGGGAAUAUUGCACAAUGGGCGGAAGCCUGAUGCAGCAACGCCGCGUGCGGGAGGACGGCCUUCGGGUUGUAAACCGCUUUCGCCUGUGACGAAGCGUGAGUGACGGUAAUGGGUAAAGAAGCACCGGCUAACUA